CACACAGGGGAGAGGCCUUAUGAAUGCAGCGAGUGUGGGAAAACUUUCAAUCGGAGCUCAAACCUUAUUACCCAUCAGAGAAUCCACACAGGAGAGCGGCCCUAUGAAUGCAGUGAGUGUGGGAAUACCUUCGCUUGGCACUCGGCCCAUGUUAGUCAUCAGAGAAUCUGUAAAAGAGCUCAACACCAUGAAAACCUCUAGGGCAGGCCUGCACAACUUGUAAAGCAGUGAGGGCCAUAUUACUCCAAAGAAAACAGCUGAGGGCUGAACUCCCCCAUCCCAGCGCUGCCAGAACACCACCCCCGCGCCCCCAAAACACAACACACACACACCCAAUGCUGCCUGCACUGUGGAAACAAACCCUCCUUCCCCAGCGCCACCCCGCUGAAACUGCUGUGGGCCAAAAAGGACGAUUGGGAGGGAUACUUUAUUAAGAAUUUUUCAAUUAAAGCAAACAAUUUUUAAAUUUUUUGUUAUGAAUCAUGGAAAAAUGAAAAACACCUGUUUCGUUGAAAGAAAACUUUGUACUUUUCAUAAUUACCUUGCAGAUUUAAUGAGAGAUAGUACAUCUCUUUUGGGCAACAAGCUUGUUGUAUUCAGGGGUCAUAUCUGAAGUGGAUAUUUUCAUAAUGUCUUCCAAAUGGUCGUCUAUCAGAUAAGAACAUUGCUUGUUUUUAUUCAUGUUCAUGUUGGAAAAUGUUUGUUCACAUAUGUAAGUGCUUCCAAAAAUGCUGAAUGUUUUCAGUGCAAUUUCAAUAGGAUUCUUGUAUUUUUCAUCAUCCAGACUUUUGUAGAAGUCCCACAGGUUGCUUUCUCUGUGCUUAUUUCAGUAAACUGCCGAACAUUGAAGUUCAAUAACCUCCAACUGCAAAUCUAGUGGCACUUCCUCUGGAUCCACAGAAAAGGGAUCUUCAAUCAGCUUCAACUGGACGUUGUCGUCUUUAGACAAACUGGAGCACCAUCAGUACAAAUGGCCACCAAGUUUGUGAAAUCUAAUCCCGACUGAUCAUUCAUGGACUUCAUCACUUCACUGGAGAUUUCUUUUCCGGUUGUGUGACCUGUCAUGGAGCACAUGCCAGCAAGUUCUUCUGUAAUUUCAAGGUUUUUAUCAAUACCUCUAAUAAAAAUAAGAAGUUGG